UCUCUCUCUCUCUCUAAUCUAUCAACACUGAUUGAAUCGUUCUUCGUUUUGUUUUUUUUGAUGCAUUUGUGUUAAGUAGUGAUGAUUUCAAGUUUUGGAUGAUCAGAAAACUGAUUAAUUUUUGAGGGUGGGAGGCAUACUCUGCCGUUGAUUUGCUCCGACCGACAAGAUUUCCCCAAACAGAAUGCAAAUUGUAGUACCCAAGUGCAAUCUACACAACUUUCACCACAUUCAAUCAACAACUCCUUUUAUUUCAUCAUCUUUUCUGGCUUAUUUUCGAUCCACCCCUACAUCCUCCAAGAACAAAUGCUUCAACACGCCGAAUCAAAAUGCCCGAGAAAUUCGACAAGAGUACACUCCGGGUUACAAAACAGUCCAAAGAAAUGGUUCUCACUCUCUGAACGAGAUGAGGUACGCAUAAGCCCGGACAUGAACUCCUCGCGAUAAUAAGCCGGUAUCCAAGUAUCCCUGGUUUGAUAAACUGACUGCAGCGACUCAUGAUCAACCAAGUUAAGAUCAUUCAUUAUGGUAGCCCAAUCACUUUCAAACUUCUCAGACAUUUAUUAGAUACAAAACUCGGCAAAAACGUGCUGAUGCAAAGAAAGCUUUGAACGAUAUCUACUUCGGAAGUGGGAGCUCCAAAUUUACACUUGCGGGUGAAUAUUUGAAAAAGCGAUGGAAAAAAAGUUGGGAUGACGAUCCAACAGAACACAAAAACAGAAGGGACCCGUCAGCUCGAAGAUGGUGGGAUGGUGAUCGAACAGAACACAAAAACAGAAGAGACCCGUAUGCUCGAAGAUGGGAUGACGAUCCAACAGAAAACAGAAACAGAAGGGAAAGUAAAGCUCAUCAAAAAAGAAAGAAAAAUAAGUGGAAAAGAGCAAACACACUUUUGAAGAAUUUGAUGAUCCUGAGAAGCAUUUCCAGGCAACAUUUGGAAAUCGACGGUAUUUUUGGUCUUUUAAGUCGUGGGAAGAGUCUUUUUCACAAAGUAAAAAAUCUGGAUGCAAGUAUUCAAAUACCAGAAAUAAAUGGAGGACUGUGAGUGAUGAUGAUGAUGAGUCCUCAGAAGAUGAUGAUUCCUAUGUUGUUGGUUCACAUUCCGAUAGAGUGGCACUUGGUUUGCCGACAAACGGUCCAUUAAUUCAUUAAUAAUAAUGAUCUAACUCUAUUAUAAAUACUUAGUUUGGUAAUUCGCUCGUAUAACCUGUGAUGUCUAUCUUUCCUGUUUCAGUUUUCGCCUUUCCGCUCUGAAGUGGCACCCUGAUAAACAUCAAGGUCCAUCACAGGCAAUGGCCGAAGAGAAAUUCAAACUUUGUGCAAGCGCGUACAAGUCGUUGUGCAACGCGCUCUCACAGGUUUAGCCGUUGUUUUGCCAAUAAAUUUACAAUCUUAAAGCUGGUUUUCACGCCAAAGGUAGGAGCGGGUUUUUUUGGUUUUUCUGCAUUUGCAUGAGGCGUAUAUAUAACAACCAAGUAUUGAUGUGACUUAGUUUCUGAUCAGAACGAUUAUGGAUAUGAGUUAGAUAACAUGAUCGACUUUGGUUUAUAUAUAGGAUUAAGAAGAAUCAUACCCAAAUCUGAAUUUUGGUUCGUGGCUCUUGUAUGAAAACAUGUUACAAAAUCUUGUUUUCACCUUACAUUGUUUAUUAGAAUUUUAUAUAAGAAAAAAACAAUGUAAACUGAAUUUUUUGGCUGAUUGGAAUAAACUACAAACAAAUCAGGUUGCAUAAAAAGCUGAAAACACACACAACAAUUCAGUUAGGGGGGUCGAUAUCACCGAUCGGUGAUUGUUCGCCGGUAAAAAAUCGGUGAGUAGGGAGUUGAUCAUUCGGUGUAUAGUCACUGAUGAGAGGAGAGAGGAGAGAGACAACCAACCAAUCAAUUUUUAUUUAUUUUUUAAUUGAGGAGUGUUUAAAUCAUUCCUAGUGUUUGAGUAGAAAAUAGGGAGUGAAGGAAGGGGGGGUGAAGUUGAAAUGGCAUUAGAUAUUGAAUCAUACCCUCCACCCUUAUAACAUAUAUUGGUGACAACAACUCAAUUAGUAUAGGCCAAUGGGUUAGUAGCAGCAUUAGUGGUAAUUUUUUGGGCCGGUCGGUUUGGAUUGGAUAUAUUCAAACCGUACCGUACGGUUUAGUUUACCAUUUUUAAUCAAAAACCGUGGUUGUAGAAAUCGCUAGUCGGCCGGUGGGGUGGGGACUAGCGAUUAAUCGGGAUUAACCAGGGAUUAAUCGGAUAUAAUCGCAAUUAAUUAUAAUUAAUUGGAAAUGAAUCGAGAUUAAUCGGCGAGUAUUGGAGGAUUAAUCGACGCCUAGUCGGGAUUUUUACAACCCGAAAACAAUAAAAAAAAAUUAUGUGGUUUCAACGGUUGGCCAAAAGAAGAGGAGGAAACUAGAAGGAUUUUAAUUUAAUUGGGAAUUUCUUGAAUAAAACAUUUUGGUUGGUUUUUCUUUCAUCAUUCAUACGAUUACAAUUUAGAAGGA